UCCGCUGUCCAAUUUUGUUUUUCUAUGAGAGAGAAGGGUUAGAAAUUUUGAAAAUUGAAUGAAUAUUCCUUUAUUUUGCUGUAUAAAUAACUAUAAAUUUGACUUCAAGUCUUUUUUUUUAGUUAUUUUGAAUGAACGUGAAAGUAUCUAGUGUGAAAGUGCCUUGUUUAUAAAGUUGGCGAGUUCAGCUUCACAAUGUCAGGUUGGCGAAAAUCAUAACCGUAAUCUUUUGAAUUUUGUGGAGGUGAAGGUAGAUACUACAUGGAUGAUGUGAGACCAAGCUGAUGUGAACUGGGUUGACAUCCUGUCACUCCGCUCUUCUAUCAUCACCCGAAGCCUCCAAGUAGGACAUGAUAGGUAGAACGAGUAGUUGAUAAGGGGUUCCGUCCUUAACCCCCCUCCCCCCACCUACUUCUCACCACUGUGGGACGAAGCUACAGACUAGUUCCAAUCAGUGAGCAGAGUGAGAAGGAGAGAGGAGAGGAGUGGAGAAGUGCACGGCGAGCGAAGUGAGUUCUAAUGAGAAGUUGCAUGGAGGAGGAUUGCCAUUUAGUUGCUGUUGUUAGAGUGAGAAAGUAUGAUGGAGCGGAUGCUACAUACGGUGAGUGCCGACAUUAUUAGCAAUUCUACUACAGUGGGUCCAAGUUAUAAUGGCAUAAUUGUCUAUUAUUCAACAAAGCGGAUAGCGCUAUCUCUUUCUCGCUUUGCGUUGUUGCCAGAUCGUUUUUAUCAAUGCAGAAUUUAUAA
rnacentral:misc_RNA from 1 species